AUCACUUCCCGGCCUUUUGGCUAAGAUCAAGUGUAAUAUCUGCUCUUAUCAAUCUAACAUCUGAUGUGUCCUCUAUCUGAGGACUAUACAUUAAAUAGAUUUUUGGAACAGGGAGAUUUACUCCUUCCACUGCACACAUUGGCCUGUUAUUAUAGUACCUCUAGGAAUGGGGCACCCCUC
rnacentral:snRNA from 1 species